rnacentral:rRNA from 1 species
GUGGGGAAUCUUAGACAAUGGGCGCAAGCCUGAUCUAGCCAUGCCGCGUGAGCGAUGAAGGCCUUAGGGUUGUAAUGCUCUUUUAGCGGGGAAGAUAAUGACGGUACCCGCAGAAUAAGCCCCGGCUAACUUCGUGCCAGCAGCCGCGGUAAUACGAAGGGGGCUAGCGUUGUUCGGAAUUACUGGGCGUAAAGCGCACGUAGGCGGAUUGACAAGUCAGGGGUGAAAUCCCGGGGCUCAACCUCGGAACUGCCUUUGAUACUGUCAGUCUAGAGUCCGGAAGAGGUGGGUGGAAUUCCUAGUGUAGAGGUGAAAUUCGCAGAUAUUAGGAAGAACACCGGUGGCGAAGGCGGCCCACUGGUCCGGAACUGACGCUGAGGUGCGAAAGCGUGGGGAGCAAACAGGAUUAGAUACCCCGGUAGUCC